rnacentral:misc_RNA from 1 species
GGGUACUCUGGGAUAUCUGGAUCCUGAAUACUAUCGAAGUAGAAAGCUAAGUAGUAAAUCAGAUGUCUACUCUUUUGGCGUGGUGUUGCUUGAAGUGCUAUGUGCAAGACCAGUGGUAUAUAAGGUUAGCUUGGCCGAAUGGGCCUUACGUUGCCAUGGAAGUGGUAACUUUGGUUGUAUCAUCGAUCCACUUCUAAGAGGAAAAAUUGCUCCUGGG